rnacentral:rRNA from 1 species
CACGUAGGGGGCAAGCGUUGUUCGGAAUUACUGGGCGUAAAGGGCUCGUAGGCGGCCAACUAAGUCGGAUGUGAAAUCCCCAGGCUUAACCUGGGAACUGCAUCCGAUACUGGAUGGCUUGAAUCCGGGAGAGGGAUGCAGAAUUCCAGGUGUAGCGGUGAAAUGCGUAGAUAUCUGGAGGAACACCGGUGGCGAAGGCGGCAUCCUGGACCAACACUGACACUGAGGAGCGAAAGCCAGGGGAGCAAACGGG